GAUGAACGCUGGCGGCGUGCCUAACACAUGCAAGUCGAACGAGAUGCGUAUCGGAAAGCUUCGGCCGGAAGAUACGUUAUCUAGUGGCGGACGGGUGAGUAACACGUGGGUAACCUGCCUUAUGGAGGGGGAUAACAGAGAGAAAUCACUGCUAAUACCGCAUAAGCACACAUUGCCGCAUGGCAGAGUGUGAAAAGAUUUAUCGCCAUAAGAUGGACCCGCGUCUGAUUAGCCAGUUGGCAGGGUAAAAGCCUACCAAAGCAACGAUCAGUAGCCGAUCUGAGAGGAUGACCGGCCACAUUGGGACUGAGACACGGCCCAAACUCCUACGGGAGGCAGCAGUGGGGAAUAUUGCACAAUGGGAGAAACCCUGAUGCAGCGACGCCGCGUGAGUGAAGAAGUAUUUCGGUAUGUAAAGCUCUAUCAGCAGGGAAGAUAAUGACAGUACCUGACUAAGAAGCCCCGGCUAACUACGUGCCAGCAGCCGCGGUAAUACGUAGGGGGCAAGCGUUAUCCGGAUUUACUGGGUGUAAAGGGAGCGUAGACGGAGUGGCAAGUCUGAAGUGAAAACCCUGGGCUUAACCUGGGGACUGCUUUGGAAACUGUUAAUCUAGAGUGUUGGAGAGGUAAGUGGAAUUCCUGGUGUAGCGGUGAAAUGCGUAGAUAUCAGGAAGAACACCGGAGGCGAAGGCGGCUUACUGGACAAUAACUGACGUUGAGGCUCGAAAGCGUGGGGAUCAAACAGG
rnacentral:rRNA from 1 species